UGCUAUAUUACAAGUGUUACGAAGAUUACACACUAGUCUAGAAGUCUAAAGACAUUUGUCUUUGUAGAAAGACACAUGUUGUUUGAGACUUGACAAUUGUCUCUUUGCAUGUAAGGCGUUGAACUCUAUAUAAGAGAGCCUUGGUGAAAAAAAAAAACUACAAUAUACUCUCUCUACUUAGCCAUAGUUUUCAUCCAUAGUAGUGCAAGAGAUAUCCAAGGGAUCUUCGUGGACUAGCUUCGGAUGGAGGACCCCUGGACUCUUUGGAGAUAAAGAAAGCAUCUACAUCAACAAGCUUAAGGACCAAAGGAGUUUGCGGCUGAGAUGAAGGGAAUUUACAACAAUGAAGAAGAGGAUGACGACGAUGAUGAUGAUCGAACUAGUUUUCCACAUGAAUCCUCUUCAUGGAUUUUUCACAGUUGAAUCAAUGAAUCCCCAAGUUUACUAGGCCCGGAGACUAUGAAGAUAAUUACAGACACCAUUGGGGAUCUUUUAAAUCCAACGUACCCGACGUGGGGGUGAUAUCCAAUAGCCGCUCAAGCAACAAAUCUUCAAUGAGUUUAAG